ensembl:lncRNA
GUAUAAUGUAUUAAUAUACCGUCAUUUAGCAGUAUAAUGUAUUAAUAUACCGUCAUUUAGCAGUAUAAUGUAUUAAUAUACCAUCAUUUAAAAAGGACCCAGUGGGGUAAUAUAGUGAGCUACAAAAGUAUUGAGAAAGUUAGACGCACCAAUAUCAUACCUCCAAGAGGUAUGCUAACCUUUCACCAUUACAAUUACAGGGGAGAUUAGCAUUUUUUGGCGGGGGUAUGAUAUUUGUGCAUCUGUGACUUGCUCACUCAUCAUUAUUCACGAUUCAUUCAGGAUUAUCCGUAAUCAUGGUAACAUCCACAUUAAUGUAGAUGUGUUUAGAAACAUAUUAUAUUCUUAUUUACAAUAAAAGUGACUCCAAAAUGACACAAUACAUUAUUUACCAUUCAUUUCUAUUGGGCACAAAAUUAUCUGAAACACAACCAAAACUAACAGAAAAUGUAUCUAACCAAUUGGUAGAGUCACAAGCUUGUUGGGACCAAAUGCUUAACUUUUUACUACUUUAAUAAUUUCUAAACGGUUCAUCCGAUAUGGAUGAAAAUACCCUCAAUUGAAAGCUGACAACCUGCACGUUAAUCUCAUAGUCAUUGUAUCAUUUCAAAUUCAAAGCGCUGGAGUACAGAGCCAAAACAACCCGAAAAUGUGUCACUGUCCCAAUAUGUUUGGCGCUCAUUGUAUGUCAUAGUUCAUAAAUGAACAGACUAGUCCUCUGGAGGUCUUAGCAGAGGCUCAGAACAACAGUGGGUGAUAUGGACCACACUGCUGGGGGCUUUAUAACUACGGUUUCCCUCUAGGACACGCUCUUCUAUGGAGAAACAUGUUUAUUGGCAAAGCUAUCAUCUUUUUAUUCUCUUGUCUUUUGUUUCAAGAAAAUAGUUGUUUGUGUGUGUGUGUGUGUGUGUGUGUGUGUGUGUGUGUGUGUGUGUGUGUGUGUGUGUGUGUGUGUGUGUGUGUGUGUGUGUGUACAAUGAUGAGCAUUGUUGACAUUUCUGACUUGUCCAUUAAUAACUAUACAUUAAACCUAUAGGUUGCAGAAUUCUCUCUCAUCACACUGGAGUCUACCAUCCCUCCCCUAAUUGGAGUAACUAGUGAACAGCAACUCUUAGGCUUCUACUUCCAGCUUGUACAUACUAAAUCAAAUCAAAUUGUAUUUGUCACAUACACAUGGUUAGCAGAUGUUAAUGCGAGUGUAGCGAAAUGCUUGUGCUUCUAGUUCCGACAAUGCAGUAAUAACCAACGAGUAAUGGAGAAACCUAACAAUUUCACAACAACUACCUUAUACACACAAGUGUAAAGGGAUAAAGAAUAUGUACAUAAAGAUAUAUGGAUGAGUGAUGGUACAGAACGGCAUAGGCAAGAUGCAGUAGAUGGUAUCGAGUACAGUAUAUACACAUAUGAGAUGAGUAAUGUAGGGUAUGUAAACAUAAAAGUGGCAUUGUUUAAAGUGGCUAGUGAUACAUGUAUUACAUAAAGAUGGCAAAGUGCAGUAGAUGGUAUAGAGUACAGUAUAUGCAUAUGAAAUGAGUAAUGUAGGGUAUGUAAACAUUAUAUUAAGUGACAUUGUUUAAAGUGGCUAGUGAUACAUUUAUUACAUUAAUUUUCCAUUAUUAAAGUGGCUGGAGUUGAGUCAGUAUGUUGGCAGCACUGUUAUGUUAGUGGUGACUGUUUAACAGUCUGAUGGACUUGAGAUAGAACCUGUUUUUCAGUCUCUCUGUCCCAGCUUUGAUGCACCUGUACUGACCUCACCUUCUGGAUGAUAGCGGGGUGCACAGGCAGUGGCUCGGGUGGUUGUUGUCCUUGAUGAUCUUUUUGGCCUUCCUGUGACAUCGGGGGGUGUAGGUGUCCUGGAGGGCAGGUAAUUUGCCCCCGGCGAUGCGUUGUGCAGACCUCACUACCCUCUGGAGAGCCUUACGGUUGUGGGCGGAGCAGUUGCCGUACCAGGCGGUGAUACAGCUCGACAGGAUGCUCUCGAUUGUGCAUCUGUAAAAGUUUGUGAGUGCUUUUGGUGACAAGUCAAAUUUCUUCAGCCUCCUGAGGUUGAAGAGGCGCUGCCUGCCUGUCUGUCUAUCUGUCUUAACUUUACUACCCUCUCCACUACUGUCCCGUCGAUGUGGAUAGGGGGGUGCUCCCUCUGCUGUUUCCUGAAGUCCACGAUCAUCUCCUUUGUUUUGUUGACGUUGAUUGUGAGGUUAUUUUUAUACAUUUUACGGAUGUAAUGUAUUUUACAAUAGUAAUCUUUUGUUUGUUUUUAGUCCCAUCCUUAAGCUAUUCUCAACCCCUCCCAUUUAUCUCUGAAGACCACCCAGAUUGUAUUUCUAUUUGCCAUAUACUUGCCAACUGUGCUGUUUCACCAAACUUCUGAACCUACUGUAAAUACAUUUUACUUUAGUUUAUCUUGUUAUUUUUAGUCCUACCCUUCAGCUCCACUCAGCUUUCCAAUGAACCCAUUGACUUGCCUGAAUGAGCAAUGUGUUCUAGAAUCUGAACAAAUUAAACAAUGCACUCACAAACUGCUGACAAAAUCUAAGAAUUGGACUGGAGAUUUCCUUGUGGGUUCCGAACCAGCACCAGCUGUCAUAAUGAAUUAACUGUUUCUGUGGACGAUGCAGCCAGUUAAGUCAUUUUGAAUGAUUUGUAAGUGUAGAGGAUGUGCACUCAGUGGUCAGUUUAUUAGGUACACACAGUGGUCAGUUUAUUAGGUACACACAGUGGUCAGUGUAUUAGGUACACACAGUGGUCAGUGUAUUAGGCACACUCAGUGGUCAGUGUAUUAGGCACACUCAGAGUACACUCAGACCAGAGAAACCCUGUAAUACUCUACACCCCCUCAGUGGUCAUAGAGACCAGAGAAACCCUGUAAUACUCUACACCUCCUCAGUGGUCAUAGAGACCAGAGAAACCCUGUAAUACUCUACACCCUCUAAGUGGUCAUAGAGACCUAGAGACAAACAAAGCACGGAGCCUGGAAUAGCUAAAGCGUUAGCCAGCACUCUACCAUUAGAGUGCUACCACUCUACCAUUAAUUACCAUGUGAGGUAUGACUGUGUCAAGUAAGUGGCUGUGUUAUAGCCCAGCUCCUGUGCCACGUCUAGAUGUGUGUAAAUAGUGUCUAUUCAGGGCAGGCCUGUUUCCUGUAGCCCUGUGGCUCUCUAGGUGAAUGUUGGGUCUACAUUGCCUGCUACACGGCCUGCUGCAUGGCCUGCUCUGUAAUGCUAAAGUAGUGUCAGCCAUAACAGCAGAACAGAGUGCCGGGCCGGGAUUUCUCACAGCUCACAGAUCAGCUUACACAUGUAUGUUUCUCUAACGACCUCUUCUGGGACUGACCUGGCAGCCACCGGAGCCGACGUUUGCUUACAACAAUUAUUUACAUCACACCUUUCUCCUCCUCCUCCCUGACCCAAUUACACAGCUCUGCUCAGGCCCCAGAAUCGCACAGCCAAUAGCACAAUCCACUAGUGUUACUGGCAAUACUUAUUGUAGACGUGCCAACUCUGUUUAAGUGCAGUACAGUUCAACAUUCCUAAUUCAAUGAGCCUAUGUUCUUUUGACUCGCUCCAGAUAUCCAUUGACUUACGUCAGGUGGCGUCACUCCUACGUCGCUCGUCCCUCAACCGCAGGUGGAAUCGACACACUAUCUGAUGUAGGACAAUGCCAGAUAUCAACAUGCUAGUGUUCACCCAUAUUGCAGGGGUGGACUAUGUAUUCCCAUACAGUUUGUCCAUAUUCUACUCCGAUCCCUGCCAUGCCAACCCAUCGCGAAAUCACGACACAGAAGUCUGUGCGUCAGCCACUACACUAUGGUGCCAUGGUGAUGACGUCAUGAUUUUACUACUGCGUCGAUUUCUGAAUGUUUGAAGACAAUGUCUUGUAAAUAUUCUAGAACCAGUUAUGUCAACACUUUUUCCUCUCCCGUCACUGCCAUCUUGCCCUAGAUCCAGAGCUUCUCGGGUCUUUGAGCCAAAAUGAGUCGUUGUUUUGUUGUGUUUCUUCAUAGCUGAAUGCAUUUACAGGCAGCUGAGUAAAUAGAGUUUCCUGUUAUGGGGGCAUUAAGACGACACAUACGGUAUGUGUAUAUUAGUGUUGUCUCUUAAGUCUUUCUGUGACAAUGAAAACUGUUCUUCUACUGUUCUAGACUACAUCAAUAAUCACAGAUUUUGUAUUUUUGAACAGAAUUUACAAAAAGUAUUCAUGUUUUUGAAUGUACGGUAUAACUGAUUUUCAGUAUAGAGAAAAUUGUAGAUGACAUGAUAACAAACUUCUAUUGUGUUUUUUAUGUUAGAUUGUAUUAAUAACCACUUGGUUUUCAUUUUGAGGACAGUAUUUAUUUUUCCUGUAUUUUGAAAUCAUGCCUGAAAAAACAGCUGAUGCUUAAUGCUUUAGUGAAAUAGAUUUUCUAUGCAUCACUUUAAUAUCAUAUGUUCUUGUUUUUCUGUGCAACAAUAUAACUAAAGACAAAUGAAUGGUGUUGCUUCUUUAUGAUAGAAUAAUAUUAAGACGUAUUACAUUUCGGCCUGUUGCAUGUCAGACUCUGCCCUGUGUUUCUGACUUCAUGCCUCAGUUACAUGUCUGACUCUGCCCUGUGUUUCUGCCUUCAUGCCUCAGUUACAUGUCUGACUCUGCCCUGUGUUUCUGCCUUCAUGCCUCAGUUACAUGUCUGAUUCUGCCCUGUGUUUCUGCCUUCAUGCCUUAAUUACAUGUCUGACUCUGCCGUAUUUCUGCCUUCAUGCCUCAAUUGCAUGUCUGACUCUGCCGUGUUUCUGCCUCAGUUACAUGUCUGACUCUGCCCUGUGUUUCUGCCUUCAUGCCUCAGUUGCAUGUCUGACUCUGCCCUGUGUUUCUACCUUCAUGCCUCAGUUACAUGUCUGACUCUGCCCUGUGUUCUCGCUCAAAUCAAAUCAAAUUUUAUUUGUCACAUACACAUGGUUAGCAGAUGUUAAUGCGAGUGUAGCGAAAUGCUUGUGCUUCUAGUUCCGACAAUGCAGUAAUAACGAGCAAGUAAUCUAACUAACAAUUCCAAAAAAACUACUGUCUUAUACACAGUGUAAGGGGAUAAAGAAUAUGUACAUAAGGAUAUAUGAAUGAGUGAUGGUACAGAGCAGC